UGUUAAAUUUUUAUACGACCGCAAAAAUUUUAAUUUUUCGUCGUAUAUUGCUAUCACGUUGGCGUCGUCGUCCUGCGUCGUCGUCGUCGUCGUCGUCCGAAUACUUUUAGUUUUCGCACUCUAACUUUAGUAAAAGUAAAUAGAAAUCUAUGAAAUUUUAACACAAGGUUUAUGACCACAAAAAGGAAGGUUGGGAUUGAUUUUUGGAGUUUUGGUCCCAACAUUUUAGGAAUUAGGGGCCAAAAAGGGCCCAAAUAAGCAUUUUCUUGGUUUUCGCACUAUAACUUUAGUUUAAGUAAAUUGAAAUCUAUGAAAUUUUGACACAAGGUUUAUGACCACAAAAGAAAGGUUGGGAUUGAUUUUGGGAGUUUUGGUUCCAACAGUUUAGGAGUUAGGGGCCAAAAAAGGGCCCAAAUAAGCAUUAUUCUUGGUUUUCGUACAAUAACUUUAGUAUAAGUAAAUAGAAAUCAAUGAAAUUUAAAUACAAGGUUUAUGAACACAAAAGGAAGGUUGGGAUUGAUUUUGGGAGUUUUGGUCCCAACAGUUUAGGAAUUAGGGGCCAAAAAGGGCCCAAAUAAGCAUUAUUCUUGGUUUUCGCACCAUAACUUUAGUAUAAGUAAAUAGAAAUCUAUGAAAUUUAAACACAAGGUUAAUGACCAUAAAAGGAAGGUUGGGUUUGAUUUUGGGAGGUUUGGUCCCAACAGUUUAGGAAUAAGGGGCCCAAAGGGUCCAAAAUUGAACUUUGUUUGAUUUCAUCAAAAAUUGAAUAAUUGGGGUUCUUUGAUAUGCCGAAUCUAACUGUGUAUAUAGAUUCUUAAUUUUUGGUCCCGUUUUCAAAUUGGUCUACAUUAAGGUCCAAAGGGUCCAAA
rnacentral:lncRNA from 1 species